rnacentral:rRNA from 1 species
GACGAACCGUGCGAACGUUAUUCGGAAUCAUUGGGCUUAAAGCGCGUGUAGGCGGAUUCGUGCGUCUGUCGCUGAAAUCCCCCGGCUCAACCGGGGAACGGGCGCGGAUACGACGAGUCUGGAGGGGCAUAGGGGGACCUGGAAUUUCCGGUGUGAGCGGUGAAAUGCGUAGAUAUCGGAAGGAACAUCAGUGGCGAAAGCGACUCCUGGACCAGUACCGACGUUCAGGCACGAAAGCGUGGGGAGCAAACAGG